ACUCAGGGUUAAACUGUCAACCCUGAUCAGAUCAUCCGAAUCAUGCUCAACUCAAACAGUCCUGUGACUCCUCACAAGGACUACCCUGACCAAGGUUUUGCUAAAUCAAAACACGACUGUACACAGCUCCUAAACUAGAGUGGUCAAUCUCAUCUUGACACACACACCGACAAGUCAAGUACUUGACUACACCCAGCAGCCUUCCAUCACUGAAUUAAAAAUUCAGGUAGUCCAGUGCCUAAGUGCAGUGAGUUGCUUGCAAGUCACCGUGGCGGUCUCAGGUCGGAGGGA
rnacentral:lncRNA from 1 species